AAAAAAUUGAAUUUCCUGAAAUUGCAAGAAACCUUAGCAGCAAUCUGGUCGCGACUUUCGCUGAUCCUCAAGGUGCCAGCUUAAAACAAUUGACGUUGCAGAUUCAGCUAUUCAAACAAACGGGUUCGACUAAAGUUGGAGAGGAAAAAACGGCAUUUACUGAAGUGGAUAAAAUUCGCAAACGAAGUCUGGAGUAUUAAAAACGCAUAACUUGGAAAAUUGUCUCAAACUAUGAAGACCCAGGAAAUCGUCGAGGUGGUUCAGCAAUUGAGCGCAAAAUCGGCUUUACUCAACAGCAUUCAGAUCAUAGCAAUGGCGAGUAGCCUCUCGAUGCUUCUUCAUCGAAUGAACAAAUUAGCACAGAAAAAAUCGGCCGCUCAACAGGACACAGAAAGAGAACGAAAAAUUGAGAUGUACGAAAUCAUGAAAAAAAAACGAAGCUUCCUCGAUCAUUGUACCUCAAACGGUCAAUCGCAUGUUGGCUCUUAGCUCUUUCCAUCAGCAAGAGCUCCUACUACAAACCGACAUAACCAAUGGACUGGACAGCAACAAAGACUUGCUUAAAGGAAUUUAAGAAAGUUUUGCCUCGAAUUUGGAAUCAAUACGCAACAAUAUAGCAUAUUUGGAUAAGAGAAUAAAACAAUUGAACAAACGAUCAUUUGCACUAAUACUUUUGAGUUAGAGUAAUUUAAGAAACGCAUUUUGAUUUGUCAUUAAUAAAACAAAAAUU